GACUUGAGACUGGCCUCCAGAAUUAGGGUGUGGAGAUGUUGGACUUGGAUGGAUUCUGUGGCUCAUGCACAGGAGAGGCCCAGCCUUUGGCCUCCCUCCAAGUGUUUUCCCAGGUGGGCGGCCUGCCAGGCUGUGUGCAUGACAGUCUGACCCCUCAGGUUGUUUAUAAGGUUCUUCAGGGCAGAGGUUCCUUGAGGACCAGUGGUCAAGGACUUGGGUUCCAGCCCCAGCUCUACCGCUCACCAGCUGUGUGCCUCUCCGAAUCGAAGCGUCUUUAUGUCUAAAAUGGAAGCCACUACACUUCCCUCCCAGAGGAGGCAUAAGAGACCUAUGCCUGUGUAACGUGACCGGUGCCUGGCAUGUAAUACAUUCUCAAUAAAUG
rnacentral:lncRNA from 1 species